AACGCGAAGAACCUUACCUGGGCUUGAACUACUGGUAGUAAGUCUCUGGAAACAGAGGCUGAUCCGCAAGGAAGCCAGCAGAGGUGCUGCAUGGUUGUCGUCAGCUCGUGUCGUGAGAUGUUGGGUUAAGUCCCGCAACGAGCGCAACCCCUAUUCGAUGUUGCUAAUCCCGCAAGGGAUGCACUCUUCGAAAACUGCCUUCGAUAAGAAGGAGGAAGGUGGGGACGACGUCAAAUCCUCAUGGCCCUUAUGUCCAGGGCUACACACGUGCUACAAUGGCCGGUACAACGGGAAGCAAUACCGCAAGGUGGAGCCAAACCCUGAAAGCCGGCCCCAGUUCAGAUUGUGGGCUGCAAUUCGCCCACAUGAAGGUGGAAUCGCUAGUAAUCGCGAAUCAGCAGGUCGCGGUGAAUACGUUCCCGGGCCUUGUACACACCGAUACUC
rnacentral:rRNA from 1 species